GAUAAACGCUGGCGGCGUGCCUAAUACAUGCAAGUCGAUCGAUGGAUGCCCAGCUUGCUGGGAGGAAAUAGAGGCGAACGGGUGAGUAAUACGUAAGCAACCUGCCCACGAAGACCGGGAUAAUCCCUGGAAACGGGGACUAAGACCGGAUAGGUAACAGAACCGCAUGAUUUUGUUAUUAAAGGUUAAAAACACUGGUGGAUGGGCUUACGGUGCAUUAGCUAGUUGGUGAGGUAACGGCCCACCAAGGCGAUGAUGCAUAGCUGGUCUGAGAGGAUGAACAGCCACAUUGGGACUGAGACACGGCCCAGACUCCUACGGGAGGCAGCAGUAGGGAAUUUUCGGCAAUGGGGGAAACCCUGACCGAGCAACGCCGCGUGAGUGAAGAAGGUCUUCGGAUUGUAAAGCUCUGUUGUAAGGGAAGAAAUGUACUUUGAGAAAAAGUACUUGACGGUACCUUACCAGAAAGCUACGGCUAACUACGUGCCAGCAGCCGCGGUAAUACGUAGGUAGCGAGCGUUAUCCGGAAUUAUUGGGCGUAAAGGGUGCGUAAGCGGCCAUUUAAGUUCAUGGUGAAAGCGUGGGGCUCAACCCCAUAAAGCCAUGGAUACUGGAUGGCUGGAGUACUGGAGAGGGUAGUGGAAUU
rnacentral:rRNA from 1 species